UGAAGUCGUAACAAGGUAGCCGUAUCGGAAGGUGCGGCUGGAUCACCUCCUUUUGAGCAUGACAGCUUCAUCUGUCAGGCGUCCUCACAAGUAACCUGCAUUCAGAGAGUUUCGCCAUGGGGCGGAACACCCCGAAAUACCGGGGCCAUAGCUCAGCUGGGAGAGCACCUGCUUUGCAAGCAGGGGGUCGUCGGUUCGAUCCCGACUGGCUCCACCACUGAUGACGACUUUGGGUCUGUAGCUCAGGUGGUUAGAGCGCACCCCUGAUAAGGGUGAGGUCGGUGGUUCGAGUCCUCCCAGACCCACCACUCUGAAUGUAUCGCACACGAAGAAUUUGAAUGAUUCGGCGCUGAGGCCGGGUCGUGUUCUUUAAUAAUUAGUGAUGUAGCGAACGUUUGAGAACAAUACUCUCGACGUGUCGUUGUGGCUAAGGCGGGGACUUCGAGUCCCUAAAAUUGAGUCGUUAUAGUUCGCGUCCGGGCUUUGUACCCCUGGGCUGAAUAUGACCUUGAGGCAACUUGAGAUAUAUUCCAGGGA
rnacentral:misc_RNA from 1 species